CCCUUAGAUGUUCUGGGCCGCACGCGCGCUACACUGAUGCAUUCAACGAGUUUCUUCCUGGUCCGAGAGGAAUGGGUAACCUUUUGAAAGUGCAUCGUGAUAGGGAUAGACUAUUGCAAUUAUUGGUCUUCAACGAGGAAUUCCUAGUAGACGUAGUUCAUCUGACUGCAUCGAUUACGUCCCUGCCCUUUGUACACACCGCCCGUCGCUCCUACCGAUUGAAUGCUCAGGUGAGCCAUUCGGACUUUCAUCAUGCUGGUUUCCAGUUUUGAUGAAGGAAAGUCUUGCGAACCUUAUCAUUUAGAGGAAGGAGAAGUCGUAACA
rnacentral:rRNA from 1 species